rnacentral:rRNA from 1 species
CCUACGGGAGGCAGCAGUGAGGAAUAUUGGUCAAUGGGCGCGAGCCUGAACCAGCCAAGUAGCGUGAAGGAUGACUGCCCUACGGGUUGUAAACUUCUUUUAUAAAGGAAUAAAAUGAGGCACGUGUGCCUUUUUGUAGGUACUUUAUGAAUAAGGAUCGGCUAACUCCGUGCCAGCAGCCGCGGUAAUACGGAGGAUCCGAGCGUUAUCCGGAUUUAUUGGGGUUAAAGGGAGCGUAGAUGGGUUGUUAAGUCAGUUGUGAAAGUUUGCGGCUCAACCGUAAAAUUGCCAUUGAUACUGGCAGUCUUGAGUACAGUUGAGGUAGGCGGAAUGCGUGGUGUAGCGGUGAAAUGCUUAGAUAUCACGAAGAACUCCGAUUGCGAAGGCAGCUUACCAAGCUACUUCUGACGUUGAGGCACGAAAGCGUGGGGAGCAAACAGGAUUAGAUACCCUGGUAGUC